GACGAACGCUGGCGGCGUGCUUAACACAUGCAAGUCGAGCGGUAAGGCCCUUUCGGGGGUACGACGAGCGGCGAACGGGUGAGUAACACGUGGGUGACCUGCCCUCAGCUCUGGGAUAAGCCCGGGAAACUGGGUCUAAUACCGGAUAUGACUCCAUGACGCAUGUUGGUGGGGUGGAAAGCCUUGUGCGGCUGAGGAUGGGCCCGCGGCCUAUCAGCUUGUUGGUGGGGUGAUGGCCUACCAAGGCGACGACGGGUAGCCGGCCUGAGAGGGCGACCGGCCACACUGGGACUGAGACACGGCCCA
rnacentral:rRNA from 1 species